UAGGGAAUCUUCCACAAUGGGCGCAGCCNGAUGGAGCAACGCCGCGUGAGUGAAGAAGGUCUUCGGAUCGUAAAACUCUGUUGUUAGAGAAGAACAUGCGAGAGAGUAACUGUUCUUGUAUUGACGGUAUCUAACCAGAAAGCCACGGCUAACUACGUGCCAA
rnacentral:rRNA from 1 species